rnacentral:lncRNA from 1 species
AGAUAAGGUGCAUUUAAUAAAUGCUCAUUUCUUUCCUCCUCUUUCACAAGUUGAGAGAAUACCUGGUAUAAAAAACAGGCUAAAGACCAAAAUUCCCUUGGUAGUUAGUUGUUUGUAACUUAGAAACAAAAUACAUGUUUAGAUUCCUGGGACCACUCACAAACACUCAUUUAUGCUAAAUAUAGAUGGUUUGCUACAUACUUAUAACAAAAAGUGCAGAAGUAAAAACUCUCUUUUUUUUUUUUUUUUUUUUUUUUGCCAGCAGUUUCUACAAGCAAGAUGUUUACAAGGCAGGCAUCUGUUCUCUGCAGGGUGCCUGUAUUGAGCACAUAGAAUCCACGCACCUGUAACUCUUAUUGCCUCAUCUGGAAGUUUCUGUAAAAGUUAAGAGAACACAUUUUUGUGCCAGGCAGACCUGAGUUCAUGUCCUGACUCCUCUACUCAGUAACUGCGAUGUGGGGCGAGUCACUUAAUCCACCUCAGCCUCAGUCCCCUCAUCUGUGAAGUGGUUAAUAACAAAAGGUUCUUACCAGAAUUUGAUUUCUCCUUUAAGGAGAAAAUGCAGGGAAAGUACUUGAAUCAGUGUCUGGUCAGGUACAAGCCCAGAUGCCCCCUCGGGGAUGUUCAUUUUUGUGCUGAAAGACAACGCGCCCAGCAAGAGCUCUGGGAAAGUUUGGAGAACUGACUUAAAGUGCUGGGGGUGGGGGAACGCACCCGCCCUUACGACAGACAGCCAUACUUUACACCUUACGACAGACAGCCAUACUUUACACGGCUGCACUUUACGACAGCCACUGCGGCUACACAUUUACGACAACCACUGAUUGUGGAAGAUUAUGGGGUCUCCGCUGAGUGGAGAGACUGAGUAGGUGUGGCUCUGGAGGAACAGAACUGUAGAUUGGAUUCCUAAAGAGAAAAUGACUGGGCCAAAGACUAUGAAAGUUUUCCAGGUUCAAGAGGCAUAUGGCUCAAUUUCCCUCCCAGUGGUGAUUUUAAUACAACACUUAAAAAAAAGUCCUCCCAAAACAGCAACAACAAACCUGUCAUUAAGAUUUCUGGAAUCUCCAUUAACAGGAAGAGGAAACAAGGUACUCUCUGCACCUGCUCCAUGCAGAACAUGGCCCUAUUUAAGGACAGACCUGACUCUUAAUGGUCUGUAUCAGAUGCUCAACUUGACCUAGUUGAAAGGAUGGGACAUCAGUGCCCCCAGGAACCUGACUCUGGAAGUUGCUGUGCUCCUGGGGCGAUAAGAAGUCACUCCAGUGACCAUCUUGCUUGACCCCUGAACUUCUGGAUCUGAGCUUCUAGAAGCCCAUGUGUGUAACAGACUGAAUAUGCUGUUUUGCUCUGAAGUGGACUUAUAGUGCUUGAUUGGGGGAGAACGUGUGUCUGCACGACAUUGCCACACCUGAGGCAGACAUUGCCAAUCAGUCACAGAACUCCGCAGUCCAGCAGCUUUCUCAUCGUAGCUGUACUUGAUCUUGGAGAAUUCAUGGGGUUUGUCUUUACAACUGCCUGGGCCUCCGUGUCUGAAGACCACAUCAUCACUUGCAAACAGUUGAAACCAAGAAACUUCAAAUCUUUAGAAGUGAAGACUGGAUGUCAAAAGUCAGCUGUAGGGACUGCUCCUGACGAACUGGGGUGCCCUGUCAUAGGCAGACUAAUGCCCCCCAAAGAUGUCCACGCCCUAAUCCCUGGAUCCUGUGUAUAAGGCAGGUUAUGUGGCAAAGAUGCAAUUAAUAUUGCUAGGGAGAUUACCCUGGACUACUGGAGUGUGUUCAGUGAAGUCAGAAGGGUCCUUCACUGUGGAAAAGGGAAGCAGAAGAGAAAGUCAGAGUGAUGCACUGUGAAGACUAGAAGACCUUGAACUGCUGUUUCUGGCCUUGGGGAGGGAGGAAGAGGGCCAGGAGUACAGAAAUGUGCGCAGCCUUUAGAAGCUGGAAAGGUCAAGGAAAAAAAAAUCGUCCCGAGUCUCCAGAAAUGAAGCCAGCCCUAACAGCAUCUUGAUCGCAGCCCUG